AAAGAGGGAGGGAGGAAGAGACUUGUCCGAUAACGGAGCGAAGACCGAACUCGGAACAACGAAAUCACCUUUAUAUUCGCUUCUUAGAGAUAGUUUUUGUUUUUCACGUGUUUUUCCACGUCAAAGUUUUUCAAAUUAGAAUUCUUAUAAUUUAUAUUAAUAUAUUUGACAUGAAUUUUUAAUUUUUUUUUAGAAAUUCAUAAAUUAAAUACUAACAUAAUGUAUAGUGAUAUUUGUGAAAAUUCAGUUUGAGAAAUCCCGAAUAAUAAGUUAAGACUUUCUUUAAGACUGGAUAAAAUACAUUACAUCACCAUAUAAUU
rnacentral:lncRNA from 1 species